rnacentral:rRNA from 1 species
GACGAACGCUGGCGGCGUGCUUAACACAUGCAAGUCGAACGGAAAGGCCCUGCUUUUGUGGGGUGCUCGAGUGGCGAACGGGUGAGUAACACGUGAGUAACCUGCCCUUGACUUUGGGAUAACUUCAGGAAACUGGGGCUAAUACCGGAUAGGAGCUCCUGCUGCAUGGUGGGGGUUGGAAAGUUUCGGCGGUUGGGGAUGGACUCGCGGCUUAUCAGCUUGUUGGUGGGGUAGUGGCUUACCAAGGCUUUGACGGGUAGCCGGCCUGAGAGGGUGACCGGCCACAUUGGGACUGAGAUACGGCCCAGACUCCUACGGGAGGCAGCAGUGGGGAAUAUUGCACAAUGGGCGGAAGCCUGAUGCAGCAACGCCGCGUGCGGGAUGACGGCCUUCGGGUUGUAAACCGCUUUCGCCUGUGACGAAGCGUGAGUGACGGUAAUGGGUAAAGAAGCACCGGCUAACUACGUGCCAGCAGCCGCGGUGAUACGUAGGGUGCGAGCGUUGUCCGGAUUUAUUGGGCGUAAAGGGCUCGUAGGUGGUUGAUCGCGUCGGAAGUGUAAUCUUGGGGCUUAACCCUGAGCGUGCUUUCGAUACGGGUUGACUUGAGGAAGGUAGGGGAGAAUGGAAUUCCUGGUGGAGCGGUGGAAUGCGCAGAUAUCAGGAGGAACACCAGUGGCGAAGGCGGUUCUCUGGGCCUUUCCUGACGCUGAGGAGCGAAAGCGUGGGGAGCGAACAGGCUUAGAUACCCUGGUAGUCCACGCUGUAAACGGUGGGUACUAGGUGUGGGGUCCAUUCCACGGGUUCCGUGCCGUAGCUAACGCUUUAAGUACCCCGCCUGGGGAGUACGGCUGCAAGGCUAAAACUCAAAGGAAUUGACGGGGCCCCGCACAAGCGGCGGAGCAUGCGGAUUAAUUCGAUGCAACGCGUAGAACCUUACCUGGGUUUGACAUGGAUCGGGAGCGCUCAGAGAUGGGUGUGCCUCUUUUGGGGUCGGUUCACAGGUGGUGCAUGGCUGUCGUCAGCUCGUGUCGUGAGAUGUUGGGUUAAGUCCCGCAACGAGCGCAACCCUUGUUCACUGUUGCCAGCACGUUAUGGUGGGGACUCAGUGGAGACCGCCGGGGUCAACUCGGAGGAAGGUGGGGAUGACGUCAAGUCAUCAUGCCCCUUAUGUCCAGGGCUUCACGCAUGCUACAAUGGCUGGUACAGAGAGUGGCGAGCCUGUGAGGGUGAGCGAAUCUCGGAAAGCCGGUCUCAGUUCGGAUUGGGGUCUGCAACUCGACCUCAUGAAGUCGGAGUCGCUAGUAAUCGCAGAUCAGCAACGCUGCGGUGAAUACGUUCCCGGG